UACAGAGGUCUCAAGCGUUGUUCGGAUUCAUUGGGCGUAAAGGGUGCGUAGGUGGCGUGGUAAGUCGGGUGUGAAAUUUCGGAGCUUAACUCCGAAACUGCAUUCGAUACUGCUGUGCUUGAGGACUGGAGAGGAGACUGGAAUUUACGGUGUAGCAGUGAAAUGCGUAGAUAUCGUAAGGAAGACCAGUGGCGAAGGCGGGUCUCUGGACAGUUCCUGACGCUGAGGCACGAAGGCCAGGGGAGCAAACGGG
rnacentral:rRNA from 1 species